CGAGCCGCUGGCCCUCACCGGACGCUGCGCGCGCCACUGGCCCUCCGCGGGGCAGGGGCUGCUUUGAGCUCGCCGGGCGCCCUUUGGACGCUCAUCCUCAUCUACUUCACUACCAAAUGUUGAAGUUCUUCAAGAAUCAGUCCUUUGGAGGUGAUGUCAUCGAAAAUGAUGAGUAGGAAACUCCAAGAACGCAUUUCUGCACAAAACCAGUGAAUACAUUGGCAAAAAAUGCAUUUAAGGAAAUCUGUUUCUCUGUUGAAUCACUAGCUGCAAAUUAAGCUAAUAGAACGGAAGCUCUACUGGUUACACACAGCAACGAAUACAGACUUUGUAAAGUUCAGAAAAGUUACCAAACAAUAGUAACCAUAACAAGUACCAACAACAAACUAUGGGGAGGGAGGAGAAUCUGAUUUCCAGAGUUACCACAUUAUAAUACUAUUCAGAAUGUCACAUUUUUAGCAAAGAUUACAAGGCAAGGAAAAACCAAAAAAGUAUGGCCCAUACACAGGGAAAAAAGAAAUUAAUAGAAACUACCCCUGAAGAAGCACAGACUUUGGAUGUACAAAACAAAGACUUUUCAUCAACUCUUAGAUAUGCUAGAAGAGCUAAAGGAAACCGUGGACAGAGAACAAAAAAAUUAGGAAAGCAAUGUCUCAUCAAAUAUCAAGAGAUUGAAAUUGUAGAAAGGAACCAAAUAGAAAUUCUGGAAUUGAAAAGUAUUAUAACUAAAACUAAAAGUCCACUAUUAGCAGCAGACUGGAGAAGUCAGAAGAAAGAAUUAACAGGCUUCAAGAUAGUUCAAUUAAGAUUAUGCAGUCUGAGGAGCAGAAAGGAAAAAGAGUGAAGAAAAAUGAACAGAGCAUAAAAGACCUCUGGGACUCUAUCAGGCAUACCAGUAUAUGCAUAAUGGGAGUCCCAGAAGGAGAAGAGAGAGAGAAAGGAACAUAAAUAAUAUUUGAAGAAAUAAUGGUAGAAAAUGUCCCAGAUUUGAUGAAAUACAUGAAUCUAGAUAUUCAAGAGGCUCAAAGAACCCUAAAUAGGGUAAACUCAAAAAGACCCACAGCAAGACACAUCAUAAUUAAACUGUCAAUAGUCAAUGACAAAGAAUCCUGCAAGCAGCAAGAGAGAAGCAAUUCCUCACGUACAAAGGAUUCUCAAUAAGAUUAAUAGCUGACUCCUCAUUAGAAACCACAGAGGCCAGGAGGCAGUGGGAUAACAUAUUCAAAGUGCUGAAAGAAAAAACUGUCAAGAAUUCUGUAUUCAGCAAAACUAUCCUUCAGAAGUGAAGGAGAAAUUAAGACAUUCACAGAUAAGCAAAACCCGAGAGAGUAUGUCACUAGUAGUCCUGCCCUGCAAGAAAUACUAAACGGAUCCUUCAGCCUGAAGUGAAGACACUAGACAGUAAUUCAGAUGCACAUGAAUAAAUUAAAACCACUGAUAAAGAUUUAAAUACAUAGGUAGAUAUAAAUGAAAAGAAUUAUAUCUGUGACAAUGAAAGCACAAUGCAUAAAGGUGAUUCAUGAUGAUGAGGAAAGGAUGAAGUAUAGGAGCAAAAAUUUUGUGUACUGUUGAAACUAAGUUGGUAUUUAUUUGAAAUAAAUUGUUAUAAAUGA